GACGAACGCUGGCGGCGUGCUUAACACAUGCAAGUCGAACGGAAAGGCCCUGCUUUUGUGGGGUGCUCGAGUGGCGAACGGGUGAGUAACACGUGAGUAACCUGCCCUUGACUGUGGGAUAACUUCAGGAAACUGGGGCUAAUACCGGAUAGGAGCUCCUGCUGCAUGGUGGGGGUUGGAAAGUUUCGGCGGUUGGGGAUGGACUCGCGGCUUAUCAGCUUGUUGGUGGGGUAGUGGCUUACCAAGGCUUUGACGGGUAGCCGGCCUGAGAGGGUGACCGGCCACAUUGGGACUGAGAUACGGCCCAGCCUCCUCCGGGACGCAGCAGUGGGGAAUAUUGCACAAUGGGCGGAAGCCUGAUGCAGCAAAGCAGCGUGCGGGAUGACGGCCUUCGGGUUGUAAACCGCUUUCGCCUGUGACGAAGCGUGAGUGACGGUAAUGGGUAAAGAAGCUCCGGCUAACUACGUG
rnacentral:rRNA from 1 species